rnacentral:snoRNA from 1 species
UUGAGUCAAUUUAUGGAAAUAUGACAGGCUAAACAUUCGCUAUAUUAAAACCAUGCAUGUGUCCCAGACCUAGUUCUUUCCCUAGGUUUGGUUUUGUAAAUGCUUGUGAUAAGC